GAAAGCAAUAAAGGAUAAGAGCGUGAGCGUGUAUGUAAGAUCAUUGUUGAUGAUCCCAGUUAUGAGAUUAUAUACGAGGAAUUGUGCGACAAGGAAAUAUGUGAAUGGAAUGGUUUCAGAAGAAAAAGAAGGCUGUAGAGUGCAUGUUAAAAAGAAGCUUGUGAAAGUUUAGCAAGGAAGGAGACAACAAUGAAAUUGGAGACGAUGACUGUUCAAAAGAGGAUAAUAUAUCAUAUCUCAUCGUCCUUCGUCCAAAGAUGAGGAAGAACAAGCCCAACUGAAAGCUCGUGAGGAUGCAUCGUUCAUCGAUGAGGUUUUUGCAUUUGUUAAGACUUCAUCCAAAUUUAAGUAAGCAAUUUUUAUGUAUUCUCUAUAGGAAGAUAUGAUAUUAAGCUUGGUGCAGUUUUCACUAACAAAAGUGUAAUGACCCACCACUCCCACCAUCUCCACUUCUUUCUCCAACCCCACCACUUCCACCUUCUCUUCCACCAUCUCCACCUUCUUCCCCACCAUCUCCAACUUCUAUAAAACUUAAGAAAGAGAGAGAGAGAGAGAUAGAGAGAGAGAGAGAGAGAGAUAGAGAGAGAGAGAGAGAGAAGAAGAAGAAGAAGAAGAGAGAAAGCUCACCUGAGCUCGUCGCCAGAGCCACCACACGCCAGGACGUCGUCAAGCUCGUCACCACCAUCAUCCGCAACCAAAGACUACCAUCGUGUUCCUCUCGUCGAGACGAAUCCGUGGCCACCAAAAACGCCUCAAUCGGAGUCCGGACGAAGCCGCACGCGCCUCCGGAAGUUUCGCCUCUGCGCGCGUGAGUUACACGCGCCGCCGCCGGAAAACGUCGCCACCGCCGGACCACCGUCCCCCGCCGCCGGAAUAUCCGCCGUCGCCGCCGUUGACCGUCGCCGGUAACUCGCCGGUGACUCGGUCAACUCGUCCGAGUCAACUCAGUGAGUCAACUCGGUUGACUCGGUUAACCACUGGUUUGACCGGUUUAAAUUGAUUUCGUUUCGGUUAGGGUAAACCGGUCGGUUUAGUCAAAUCGAUUUCUGGUCAAAGCUUGACCGGGUUGACUUUGACCAACGAGUUGACUUUUCCGUAAAUACCCGUUUUAAACCGUUCGAAAGGCGUUCUGACUCGAAAUUUCGAUCUGAUUUCAGAUUUGGAGUCCAUUUGAGCAGCUGGAGGUCAUAUAUACCACUUCUCUUCAUUGCUAAGGUGAGGGCUAUUCCGUUAAAUCCCGAGCUAGUUUAGUACUACCAUUAUGGAAAGUUUAGUUUCGAAACAUGAUCCGUCUUUGUGAAUCGAGUCUAUUUGAGAGUCUUGCUUGUUCAUUAUUGAUAUUGAUUGUUAACUGGAAUUAGGAUAAUAGAGGAUUCAACGAUUGUGUGAAAUGAUUGAUGCUAAGAACUGCUAUAUAUAUGUAUAUACAUAGUUAUGAGUAGGGACUAUGUGAUGAGGGCGUGAGUUCAGAGAUGUCUGAGCUUCGACGCUACGGUGUGAUAUGGGCGUGAGUUCAGAGACGUUUGAGCUUCGACGCUACUGUUUGGGGCGUGGUGCAGAGACGUUUGCAUUCGACGCUACGAUGGGCGGGGGUACAGAGACAGACUGUACUAGCGACGCUUCGAGUAUAAGUAUAUAUCCGUAUGAGGAGAUGCGUGGUGCAGAGAGUAGCUAUGUACUAUAAGCGCAUGAGUUGUAACGGCUAGUCCUCUAGCCGAAUAUUGAUUAUUAUGUGUGGUGUAAUAGGCACCGUGUUUGUUUCAUGCUAGAGCUAGGCCUACAUUUUAGUAGUGCUAUGAACUCAGUCUGUGGUUUGCGGUUUAGCAUCCCAUACCUCGCUGGGCAACUCCCCUGUUGCUCACCCCUCCUUCUUUCCCCCUUUCAGGUGAGACCGACGAGUAGGAGUGAUUAUCGGACCGGUGCUAUUGGGCUUUUGGGCUUCCAUCGCUUUUACCGCUUUUAUCUUUAUCGGGUCUUUAGGCCUUUGGACUUUUAUCGUUUAUGUUAUUCCUAUUUCAGACUUUCGGUUUAUGUCGUAUUUUAUAUUUCGGAUGUUAUCGUUAUCGGGCCUUUUGGCGUUAUGCUAUCGUAUUGACUUUUAUAUUAUGGUGGAAAUUAUUAUUAUUAUUUGAGUUGUAUUAUUAUUUUA